GGUUAAGCGACUAAGCGUACACGGUGGAUGCCCUGGCAGUCAGAGGCGAUGAAGGGCGUGCUAAUCUGCGAUAAGCGCCGGUAAGGUGAUAUGAACCGUUAUAACCGGCGAUACCCGAAUGGGGAAACCCAGUGUGAUUCGUCACACUAUCAUUAACUGAAUCCAUAGGUUAAUGAGGCGAACCGGGGGAACUGAAACAUCUAAGUACCCCGAGGAAAAGAAAUCAACCGAGAUUCCCCCAGUAGCGGCGAGCGAACGGGGAGGAGCCCAGAGCCUGAAUCAGCAUGUGUGUUAGUGGAAGCGUCUGGAAAGGCGCGCGAUACAGGGUGACAGCCCCGUACACAAAAGCGCAUGUGCUGUGAGCUCGAUGAGUAGGGCGGGACACGUGGUAUCCUGUCUGAAUAUGGGGGGACCAUCCUCCAAGGCUAAAUACUCCUGACUGACCGAUAGUGAACCAGUACCGUGAGGGAAAGGCGAAAAGAACCCCGGCGAGGGGAGUGAAAAAGAACCUGAAACCGUGUACGUACAAGCAGUGGGAGCACAGGUUUACCUGUGUGACUGCGUACCUUUUGUAUAAUGGGUCAGCGACUUAUAUUCUGUAGCAAGGUUAACCGAAUAGGGGAGCCGUAGGGAAACCGAGUCUUAACCGGGCGUUAAGUUGCAGGGUAUAGACCCGAAACCCGGUGAUCUAGCCAUGGGCAGGUUGAAGGUUGGGUAACACUAACUGGAGGACCGAACCGACUAAUGUUGAAAAAUUAGCGGAUGACCUGUGGCUGGGGGUGAAAGGCCAAUCAAACCGGGAGAUAGCUGGUUCUCCCCGAAAGCUAUUUAGGUAGCGCCUCGUGAAUUCAUCUCCGGGGGUAGAGCACUGUUUCGGCUAGGGGGCCAUCCCGGCUUACCAACCCGAUGCAAACUGCGAAUACCGGAGAAUGUUAUCACGGGAGACACACGGCGGGUGCUAACGUCCGUCGUGAAGAGGGAAACAACCCAGACCGCCAGCUAAGGUCCCAAAGUCAUGGUUAAGUGGGAAACGAUGUGGGAAGGCCCAGACAGCCAGGAUGUUGGCUUAGAAGCAGCCAUCAUUUAAAGAAAGCGUAAUAGCUCACUGGUCGAGUCGGCCUGCGCGGAAGAUGUAACGGGGCUAAACCAUGCACCGAAGCUGCGGCAGCGAACGUAUCACUUAAAGCGAUUCAGCGGGUUACGAUUGACGGAGCGAAGCGACGUCAAAGCGUAUACAAAGUCGAGUCGGUUUAAGGAUACGUUCGUUGGGUAGGGGAGCGUUCUGUAAGCCUGUGAAGGUGUGUCGUGAGGCAUGCUGGAGGUAUCAGAAGUGCGAAUGCUGACAUAAGUAACGAUAAAGCGGGUGAAAAGCCCGCUCGCCGGAAGACCAAGGGUUCCUGUCCAACGUUAAUCGGGGCAGGGUGAGUCGACCCCUAAGGCGAGGCCGAAAGGCGUAGUCGAUGGGAAACGGGUUAAUAUUCCCGUACUUGGUGUUACUGCGAAGGGGGGACGGAGAAGGCUAUGUUGGCCGGGCGACGGUUGUCCCGGUUUAAGCGUGUAGGUGUGUGUUCCAGGUAAAUCCGGUUCACUUUAACACUGAGGCGUGACGACGAGGCACUACGGUGCUGAAGCAACAAAUGCCCUGCUUCCAGGAAAAGCCUCUAAGCAUCAGGUAACAUCAAAUCGUACCCCAAACCGACACAGGUGGUCAGGUAGAGAAUACCAAGGCGCUUGAGAGAACUCGGGUGAAGGAACUAGGCAAAAUGGUGCCGUAACUUCGGGAGAAGGCACGCUGACACGUAGGUGAAGUGAUUUACUCAUGGAGCUGAAGUCAGUCGAAGAUACCAGCUGGCUGCAACUGUUUAUUAAAAACACAGCACUGUGCAAACACGAAAGUGGACGUAUACGGUGUGACGCCUGCCCGGUGCCGGAAGGUUAAUUGAUGGGGUCAGCGCAAGCGAAGCUCCUGAUCGAAGCCCCGGUAAACGGCGGCCGUAACUAUAACGGUCCUAAGGUAGCGAAAUUCCUUGUCGGGUAAGUUCCGACCUGCACGAAUGGCGUAAUGAUGGCCAGGCUGUCUCCACCCGAGACUCAGUGAAAUUGAACUCGCUGUGAAGAUGCAGUGUACCCGCGGCAAGACGGAAAGACCCCGUGAACCUUUACUAUAGCUUGACACUGAACAUUGAGCCUUGAUGUGUAGGAUAGGUGGGAGGCUUUGAAGUGUGGACGCCAGUCUGCAUGGAGCCGACCUUGAAAUACCACCCUUUAAUGUUUGAUGUUCUAACGUGGACCCGUAAUCCGGGUUGCGGACAGUGUCUGGUGGGUAGUUUGACUGGGGCGGUCUCCUCCUAAAGAGUAACGGAGGAGCACGAAGGUUGGCUAAUCCUGGUCGGACAUCAGGAGGUUAGUGCAAUGGCAUAAGCCAGCUUGACUGCGAGCGUGACGGCGCGAGCAGGUGCGAAAGCAGGUCAUAGUGAUCCGGUGGUUCUGAAUGGAAGGGCCAUCGCUCAACGGAUAAAAGGUACUCCGGGGAUAACAGGCUGAUACCGCCCAAGAGUUCAUAUCGACGGCGGUGUUUGGCACCUCGAUGUCGGCUCAUCACAUCCUGGGGCUGAAGUAGGUCCCAAGGGUAUGGCUGUUCGCCAUUUAAAGUGGUACGCGAGCUGGGUUUAGAACGUCGUGAGACAGUUCGGUCCCUAUCUGCCGUGGGCGCUGGAGAACUGAGGGGGGCUGCUCCUAGUACGAGAGGACCGGAGUGGACGCAUCACUGGUGUUCGGGUUGUCAUGCCAAUGGCACUGCCCGGUAGCUAAAUGCGGAAGAGAUAAGUGCUGAAAGCAUCUAAGCACGAAACUUGCCCCGAGAUGAGUUCUCCCUGAGACUUAGAGUCUCCUGAAGGAACGUUGAAGACGACGACGUUGAUAGGCCGGGUGUGUAAGCGCAGCGAUGCGUUGAGCUAACCGGUACUAAUGAACCGUGAGGCUUAACCUU
rnacentral:rRNA from 1 species